UCGCGUUCCCUGGUUUGUUCAAACGCAGAUAGUUUCUCUGUGCUCCAAACCAGAAAUGGCGUCGUUUUGCAGAUCAACAAUAAUGGCGGGUAAAAGAUCUCUCUCAUCUCGUUGCGCAAACCUAGCUCAAAAGUCUGUGAACCCAAAAUCUAUAUCUUCUCCUCUAUCUUCACCGCGAAGGUCCUAUCCUUGUGCUUCAAGGUUCAUAUCGGUUUUGGGGGGUCUAGAAACUAUGAUGCCGCUUCACAGUGCCCUUGCUUCUGCUAGGCUGAAGUCGAGCAUCGCUGUUGAUUCCUCUUGUUGGAGCUGGCUUUCUCAGGGAUUUGCAACACCGUUGUGACCAGGCUUGUGGAAUCUAUGUGGGAAAAUAAGUUCUUAGGAUUUUUCUUCAGUCUGGAAAAAGGAUCCAAAAUCCUUUGAAUUUGAACGCUGAUAUUCCAUUUCUGCAGUAAUUUGCAGUUCCACGGUGACAAAGGCUAAAAGGUUCCAACAUGUCGGAUCUAGUGAGCAUCAUUUGAGUAGUUUUCUUCUACGUUUGCUGAUCCUUGUGCCUUUUUGUCAUUACUUCCUAGAACAAUUAUUUGGUGGAAGUCAUCUCCUAGCAUGGAUGUUAUGGCAGGAUAGGUUAUUGAUAUUCUAUCCUUAUGUUUUGGAGCACAGCAGAUAUUUGAUUAGCAAAAUGAUGAGUGCCAAGACCUUUUUGUUAAAUUCUGAAUCAGUAAGAAUUUGUGGUUUGGUGAGUGAUCUCUCUGUUAGGACAUACAGGUGUAGAGCAACAUGAACAACCUUCCAAUGUGAUAAUGUUGUUUAUACAGUAAAUAUGAUAUUGUGCAACUUGGUAAGGAAGCAAUUGUCUGUUUGUGUAAAAAUGUAAUAUGGGGUUGUAUAAGUUUUGAUGGUAA